ensembl:lncRNA
GACUACCUGCGUCAGCUGGACGUCAUCAGAGAACAGUACCACCAGGACAUGAGACAGAUGAGGCAGAGAGCUGAAGCAGAGGCGCAGCUGCAACAGAAACAUGGAACAUUUGUGGUGGAGAAACCCAGAGACACAGAAUCUGGUGCAGACGGUGAAGAGGAGCAGCACAAAGCUGCACCUGCACAGGACAUGGAAGCCGCCCUUAGGCAGGUGCGAGAGGAGAGGAGAGCACCGGAGAGGAAACACAAGGACAAGAAGGGAAUCAUGUUCGAGAUCCGGUUAGAAGACGGCGAGACGAAGGACGAGGAAGUGACGGAGAAAGACGAGGAAGAGAUGGACUCAGACCCUCUGAACCGGACUCUGAGCUUCCAGGAGGGGGAGGAGCUGAAGCUCAGGGAUUGGUCGGAGGAGAGGAGGGUGUGGAGUCAGAGGAGUCCUCAGACUCUGCUGGACGCUUUAGCCAACAUGGACGUCAUCUCGGCGAACGAUGACACCGUGAUCGAGACUGAACAAGGUGAAGAGGCGCCGGGUCGCAGGCAGUGGGGCGACGGGCCCCCCGUCACCCUGCUGAACGCUCUCGCUCAGGCCGAACUCACGUCGUCAACUCUGGACGCAGAUCUAGAGGCAGAGGACGGAGCAGCAGCAGAGGAGGAGGAGCGGGAGGAAGAAAAAGAGGAGAGGAGGGAGGAGGAUGAAGAGGAAGAGGACUCUGAUGUGGAGAUGGAUGAAGAGCGACUGGAGCCGAGGUCAGACGACGACGACACGAACUUCGAGGAGUCGGAGGACGAGCUGAGAGAAGCGGUGGCGGACUCCAUGAAGAACCUGUUCGUCAUGGAGGAUGGGAGCUCGGACGAGGUGGAAGACACAGAGGAGAGGAGGGCAGAGGUGCAUGAUGGGAAGAAGGACGCUGAAGACAAAGAUGGCGCCGCACACCCUCAACAAGUCCGACCGGAGCUGGAGGAUUCACCCGAGCCCAGAGGACCUGACCACGGUCAGUCCGACGGUUCGGACUCGUCUGCUCCGCUUCAUUCAAAAUAAAGAUUCUUAUGAUUUCAAUUUCUUUUAUUUUUACACGUUAUUGUAUUUCCAUCACAAACAGGAAUGCAGGAAGUCAAACAACAUCUAAAUAAAUAAGAGAGAUUUCUCCGUCACCCAGCAACAAGGUUUGUAAGUCUUCAACAGAAAAACAAAAUUUAGAAUCCCUUCAGAUUAAAUUCAACAGUCAAGCCAGGAAACGUCAAACUAAUUUUCAUGACCCAUUAAGUCCCCCUCUACUCAAAAAAGUGUUUUUCUUCUGUCUCUGUCCGCUAAAAUAUUCAUAGUCUCAGAAUUCCUCGAUGAGGGAGAGAGAUUCCAUGGUUUCCAGACACAUUUCAGAGGUAAACAAUGUUAAACAAAAUAUUAGGCAUAGCAGAUUCUUUAUAUAUACUUUAAAACGUGACUGUCGGGGGUUCUUUAAGUAGGUGAUUAAAUUCUAUCAGUUUGGAGGUUGAUGUUGUUGCUCCUCCAUGUUUCUCUUUGAUCGUCUUGUUUCCAGUGAAAACACCUGAGGACUUUCACUCACAUGAGUUUGACACUGUAAGUUUUUGCUAAUUCAUCGCAGUGGGACAGUUUUCACUCUAGUUGUCCAGCAGAGACACGUCCUUACAAUGUCAACGUCCUUUUCCUGUUCAUUUUUCCUUGGGAAUGAGACGCCAUGACAGUGACGGGAAGCUCUGGUCUGUUCGUGAUCCUCGGAGGAGGAGCUGGUCGGUCAGCG